CUCUCUCUCUCUCUCUCUCUCUCUUUCGAUUUCUAUAUAGCUUCAAUUUGGAUUGGUCCCGAAGAAAAUGUUGAAACGAAUUGGUUUCUGAUAGGUUUUGCGAGAAGACGAAAUCACUUGUCAGCGAUACUAUUGGUGUCUCUUUUCCUAUGAAAGGUGGGAUUCCAUGCUUGGUUCCAAAGGAUGGAAAAAUACUUGAGGAGGAAAGUGAGGCAUCAAAAGCUUAAUGACUUUUGCUUUUGCACCAAAAAAAUUAUAAAAUGAUCAGAGUGAAAAAGGUAAUAUAUAACUUGUAUCUGCAGCGACUUAUCAAUGGUUCUUUCUGUCUUCACAUUUUAGUCUUGUGAUCUCUUUUAAGUUUGAAGUUUUUAUGGGAAACAUUGAUGUACGCAAUUGAAAGCCAGUGUGGGAGUUGUAGUUUCAGGGGAAUGUAACUACCUUUUCUUCUUUUGUUUCUUGAAAUCUAGGAUUGUUAUUGACUGGAAUGAAAGUAAAAGCAUGAUUUAUGGUA